rnacentral:rRNA from 1 species
UACAGAGGGGGCAAGCGUUGUUCGGAAUUAUUGGGCGUAAAGGGCGCGUAGGCGGUGCGGUAAGUCACCUGUGAAAUCUCUGGGCUCAACUCAGAGUCUGCAGGCGAAACUGCCGUGCUUGAGUGUGGGAGAGGUGAGUGGAAUUCCCGGCGUAGCGGUGAAAUGCGUAGAUAUGUGGAGGAACACCGAUGGCGAAGGCAGCCCCCUGGGUCAAGACUGACGCUCAUGCACGAAAGCGUGGGGAGCAAACAGG